rnacentral:misc_RNA from 1 species
AACGCACAUUGCGCCCAUUAGUAUUCUAGUGGGCAUGCCUGUUCGAGCGUCAUUUCAACCCUUAAGCCUAGCUUAGUGUUGGGAGACUGCCUAAUACGCAGCUCCUCAAAACCAGUGGCAGAGUUUUUACGUACUCUGAGCGCAGUAAUUCUAUUCUCGCUUCUGAAAACGUCUAGACGAUAGCCAAAAACCGCUUGCCUCGGCAGCACUUUUUAAUGGUUGACCUCGGAUCAGGUAGGAAUACCCGCUGAACUUAA